rnacentral:rRNA from 1 species
GACAGAGGUCCCGAGCGUUAGGCGGAAUCACUGGGCUUAAAGCGUGUGUAGGCGGAUUGGUAAGUACCUUGUGAAAUCCCACGGCUCAACCGUGGAACUGCUUGGUAUACUGCUUAUCUUGGGCCACUUAGGGGCUACCGGAACAAACGGUCGAGCGGUGAAAUGCGUAGAUAUCGUUUGGAACGCCAAUGGUGAAAACAGGUAGCUGGGAGUGUGCCGACGCUGAGACACGAAAGCCAGGGGAGCGAACGGG